ACUUCCUACGGGAGGCAGCAGUGGGGAAUAUUGCACAAUGGGGGAAACCCUGAUGCAAGCCAUGCCGCGUGUGUGAAGAAGGCCUUCGGGUUUGUAAAGACACUUUCAGUAGGGAGGAAGGUAGUGUAGUUAACACCUGCAUUAUUUGACGUUACCUACAGAAAGAAGCACCGGCUAACUCCGUGCCAGCAGCCGCGGUAAUACGGAGGGUUGCGAGCGUUAAUCGGAAUUACUGGGCGUAAAGCGCAUGCAGGCGGCCUGUUAAGUCCAGAUGUG
rnacentral:rRNA from 1 species